rnacentral:rRNA from 1 species
GCAGAAAUGCAUGUUCUCUUCGGAGCACUGGAGACAGGUGGUGCAUGGUUGUCGUCAGCUCGUGUCGUGAGAUGUUGGGUUAAGUCCCGCAACGAGCGCAACCCUUAUCCUUAGUAGCCAGCAGGGAAAGCUGGGCACUCUAGGGAGACUGCCAGGGAUAACCUGGAGGAAGGUGGGGAUGACGUCAAAUCAUCAUGCCCCUUAUGAUUUGGGCUACACACGUGCUACAAUGGCGUAAACAAAGGGAAGCGAAGUGGCGACAUGGAGCGAACCCCAAAAAUAACGUCUCAGUUCGGAUUGCAGGCUGCAACCCGCCUGCAUGAAGCCGGAAUCGCUAGUAAUCGCAGAUCAGAAUGCUGCGGUGAAUACGUUCCCGGGUCUUGUACACACCGCCCGUCACACCAUGGGAGUCGAUAACGCCCGAAGUCAGUGACCCAACCGAAAGGAGGGAGCUGCCGAAGGCGGGAUGGAUAACUGGGGUGAAGUCGUAACAAGGUAGCCGUAUCGGAA